CCUACGGGGGACAGCAGUGAGGAAUAUUGGUCAAUGGCCGGAAGGCUGAACCAGCCAAGCCGCGUGAAGGACGAAGGUGCCAAGCAUUGUAAACUUCUUUUGUCAAGGGACAAAAUCAGGCUCGAGAGCCUGACCGAGGGUACUUGAAGAAAAAGCAUCGGCUAACUCCGUGCCAGCAGCCGCGGUAAUACGGAGGAUGCGAGCGUUAUCCGGAUUUAUUGGGGUUAAAGGGUGCGUAGGCGGGCUGUUAAGUCAGCGGUAAAAUCCAGGGGCUCAACCCAGGAGAGCCGUUGAAACUGGCUUUCGUGAGAUGUCGAUAUGUAGGUGGAAUGCGCAGUUGAGCGGGGAGAUGCUUAGAUA
rnacentral:rRNA from 1 species